GAUGAACGCUGGCGGCGUGCCUAAUACAUGCAAGUCGAGCGAAUGGAUUAAGAGCUUGCUCUUAUGAAGUUAGCGGCGGACGGGUGAGUAACACGUGGGUAACCUGCCCAUAAGACUGGGAUAACUCCGGGAAACCGGGGCUAAUACAGGAUAACAUUUUGAACCGCAUGGUUCGAAAUUGAAAGGCGGCUUCGGCUGUCACUUAGGGCUGGACCCGCGUCGCAUUAGCUAGUUGGUGAGGUAACGGCUCACCAAGGCAACGAUGCGUAACCGACCUGAGAGGGUGAUCGGCCACACUGGGACUGAGACACGGCCCAGACUCCUACGGGAGGCAGCAGUAGGGAAUCUUCCGCAAUGGACGAAAGUCUGACGGAGCAACGCCGCGUGAGUGAUGAAGGCUUUCGGGUCGUAAAACUCUGUUGUUAGGGAAGAACAAGUGCUAGUUGAAUAAGCUGGCACCUUGACGGUACCUAACCAGAAAGCCACGGCUAACUACGUGCCAGCCGCCGCAGUAA
rnacentral:rRNA from 1 species